UACGGAGGGAGCUAGCGUUGUUCGGAAUUACUGGGCGUAAAGCGUACGUAGGCGGCUUUGUAAGUUAGAGGUGAAAGCCCGGAGCUCAACUCCGGAACUGCCUUUAAGACUGCAUCGCUAGAAUCCGGGAGAGGUGAGUGGAAUUCCGAGUGUAGAGGUGAAAUUCGUAGAUAUUCGGAAGAACACCAGUGGCGAAGGCGGCUGCCUGGGCCCGACCUGACGCUGAGGCGCGAAAGCGUGGGGAGCGAUCCGG
rnacentral:rRNA from 1 species